ACUCUCAAAACAUGCCUAAAACAUCCUAGCGAAUCACUGCACAGCUCCAUUUAUUUGAGAAUAUCCUUCUCAACAAUAGAUCUCCUAGCCAAGCUUAUCUCCUAUUGAAAUCACUGCAAUCACAGGAGGAUGCUCGUAUAGUUUUUUCUGAAACUUUGACGACCUCCUUCCUUAUCUAGCAAUGCUUCAAGGAACUGUGGAGGAUUAAGCAAUGGAGGGAAGCUGCGCCUUCCCUUCCACUCAACAUCAAUCCUAUCUGGGAUCUCUCUAGACUCCUUGUGCUCUCAUUUAUUUCCUCUAACCUUCAUAAUAUAUAUGCACUUGACACUUGGAGGGCCAAUAUUGAAGCCAUCAUUUAUCAGUAGAAUUCCCUGCAUUUGCAUUCACAGAUAUUAAUUUGUGGGCAAGUUCUCUCUUCUCUUUUCACGAGGAUCACGUCUUCACUUGUCAUAAAACAUACCGAUAAAGGAUCUUUAGAGCUCACGGUCAACUUGUGCUGGAUUGCUAUCACCGUCUGCAUAGAUUUGAGAAAAUCCAGGAGCAUCAGGCAACGUUUCAGAAUUGGCUCUGACAGUAAUGCAAAAAAACAUUCUAUAAACAAAACCGUCACAGUACAUGCAAUAACUGGCAUGAACCUUAAGCAGCACUCCUUACAUGGCAUCAUCGUUUAAACUGAGCCCAAGCAAUUCUCAGUUGGGUCUGCUAUCAAAAGAGAACUCCGCUCGGUCCGAUCAGAAAUCCAAAAAUGGAAAAAG
rnacentral:lncRNA from 1 species